rnacentral:rRNA from 1 species
GAUGAACGCUAGCGAUAGGCUUAACACAUGCAAGUCGAGGGGCAGCAUGGUCUUAGCUUGCUAAGACUGAUGGCGACCGGCGCACGGGUGCGUAACGCGUAUGCAACUUGCCUCACAGAGGGGGAUAACCCGUCGAAAGACGGACUAAUACCGCGUACACUCCAUCUUGGGCAUCCAAGGUAGAGGAAAUGAAAUUCGCUGUGAGAUAGGCAUGCGUCCCAUUAGCUAGUUGGUGAGGUAACGGCUCACCAAGGCGACGAUGGGUAGGGGAACUGAGAGGUUGAACCCCCACACUGGUACUGAGACACGGACCAGACUACUACGGGAGGCAGCAGUGAGGAAUAUUGAUCAAUGGGCGAGAGCCUGAACCAGCCAAGUCGCGUGAAGGAUGACUGUCUUAUGGAUUGUAAACUUCUUUUAUACGGGAAUAACAAGAGUCACGUGUGACUCCCUGCAUGUACCGUAUGAAUAAGCAUCGGCUAACUCCGUG